ACCCCAGUCGUUUUGUCAGGAAUCCUUUCGCACUCUGUUGCCCUCAAUGGAAGGUUCUCCGUUACACGCUGGGAAUAUCAAGGGUCGUCUCGCUGUCCUGGUCCUUGGAUCAGGGCUGAUGGGGUCCGUUUUGGAUUUCCCAUCAUGAGACGAAAUUGCAUCACUUUGAGUUGAACUCUGCUAGUGCUCUCCCGAGCCUCGAUAUGGCGGUUUUCUUAGUAGCGAAGCAUACAUAU
rnacentral:snoRNA from 1 species